rnacentral:lncRNA from 13 species
GCUCAGAACUUCAGGGGGCAGCUGGGGGUGGUGGGUGGCGUCUGUGGCUCCAGGGCCCUCGAGAUGCAGCUGGUACGUGCCUGUUCCUCAGUGCCCUGCUCCAGAUCUCGGCUCAGAUGGGCACAACGGGAGCCUUGGGGCAGGCUGGGCUGCGGUGGGUGACCAGCGUCCGCAGCACCGCCAGCCUGGAUGGAGGGAUCCAGCUGCAGAAGGGCCAGGACCUCAAGGUGCAUCUGAACACGCCCGAGGAGGCUGUGGAGCUGCUCAGCUUCAGCUCUCAGCUGUACGUCGUUACCAGGGAUGGCGUGAGGAGCCUUAGACACAUCCCUGUCCCUUCUGAGGCCCAGUCCUGUACUGGUGAGGAAGUGUCCUAUGCCUGGGGCUGGCGGCUGUGAGCUGGAGUGACCUGGCCGGUGGCUGGCCAGCCCUACUUGCUCUCAUUGCCUGUGUUCGCGGCCGUGACGCUGCAGAAGCGGGACCCGGGGCUCCGACGGUACCUGCUGGAAGCUGCCUGCUCCCUGCAGUCCCAGGUGGGCCCUAAGCCACAGCCCCAUCUUUCUCAGCCAUCUUUCU